CAAAGGUGAGCCAGUACAGGAUGGACCCGCGUCUGAUUAGCUAGUUGGUAAGGUAACGGCUUACCAAGGCGACGAUCAGUAGCCGACCUGAGAGGGUGAUCGGCCACAUUGGAACUGAGACACGGUCCAAACUCCUACGGGAGGCAGCAGUGGGGAAUAUUGCACAAUGGGCGAAAGCCUGAUGCAGCAACGCCGCGUGAGUGAUGAAGGCCUUCGGGUCGUAAAACUCUGUCCUCAAGGAAGAUAAUGACGGUACUUGAGGAGGAAGCCCCGGCUAACUACGUGCCAGCAGCCGCGGUAAUACGUAGGGGGCUAGCGUUAUCCGGAUUUACUGGGCGUAAAGGGUGCGUAGGCGGUCUUUCAAGUCAGGAGUGAAAGGCUACGGCUCAACCGUAGUAAGCUCUUGAAACUGGGAGACUUGAGUGCAGGAGAGGAGAGUGGAAUUCCUAGUGUAGCGGUGAAAUGCGUAGAUAUUAGGAGGAACACCAGUUGCGAAGGCGGCUCUCUGGACUGUAACUGACGCUGAGGCACGAAAGCGUGGGGAGCAAACAGGAUUAGAUACCCUGGUAGUCCACGCUGUAAACGAUGAGCACUAGGUGUCGGGGGUUACCCCCUUCG
rnacentral:rRNA from 1 species